rnacentral:misc_RNA from 1 species
UCUCCGUAGGUGAACCUGCGGAGGGAUCAUUACAGAGUUCUCGCCCUCACGGGUAGAUAUCCCACCCACUGUUAUCGUUACUGUCGUUUCUUUGGCGGGCCGCCGGGUCCCCGGCCGCCGGCGCCUAGCUGCCGGCGCGCGCCCGCCAGAGGCCUUCAAACUCUGAAUGUUAGUGUCGUCUGAGUACUAUAUAAUAGUUAAAACUUUCAACAACGGAUCUCUUGGUUCUG